UACCCUGAUCACGGGUUGGACCCAAAUUACCAAACCAGAUUGUUCAUCCCGAAAUACAGGGCUGGUCUAAUAUUGCCGGUGGGUACAACCUUGUUCAUUAAUCCACUGACCCAGAAUUCCUCUUCCUCUGUCCCCUAAAACCAAUUCAAUUGAAAAUUUUAUCAAUGAAGCCAAGUGUUAUUAUUUCAGAUCAAGUGUUUAAAUCGGAAACCUUAGAUUUUAAGUUGAGGCAUUGCUAGACAACUAUGGAACUCAAAAGCAUAGGGGAACUCAGAAACUUAGAUUUCAAGUUCUAUAUCAUAAAAAAUUAAAAAUUGCUCACAUGGAUUGUAUUGAUGCAUGUAUUUGUUGCAUACAAUUCAUAACAAAAUUGGGUCAAAAAUUCAAUGUAUAGAUUCUAUUUCUCUUUUCACUCUUCUUAUAGGGUCUUCAACUUAUCUGAUAAUGAGUAAUCAAGGGUCAUCUUUCCUAAUUGUCAAUAAAUAUUACUUUUAGCUCCUUUAUAUAAAUUGUCUACUCACCCAUAUAAUAAUUCUAUCAAUUCUAAAUCAUGUCUGUUUCUUGAACUUCAUAUAUGCGAUCUUUUCUAACAAAUUCUUCUGGAUCCCUUCUAGUUUUAGCACCAGUUUAGAUAAUCUUCCAUCAAAUUAUUUUUCCAAAUACGACUAUUUUUAUUAAUGCGGCUCCCAGCCCCUCUCCCCAAAUAAUCAAAUACUCCUUCCCCCUUUUUCAAGCCACACUGUUUAAUAAGAGACUCCUAGAGGCUCAUUAAUACACUUUCUUACCUUGCUUGCCUUAUUGGCAUUGGUUAACCAUUAAUACCAAUUUAGUGGGCAGCAAAUGCAGUGUGGAAGGCGAAAGGAGUAGCUAGAGGAUGGAAGAGGGUUACCGUGACAAACUUUGGCUAUAAUUUUGAUUGAGUUUGCUUAAUGUCAUGAUAUAGAUGGUUUCAAUUCACUAGGGUUUCUUACAUUUUAGAAAAAGUUGUCCAGCAAAUGGAAAAUUUUGGAAAUAGCGCAUUAUCAAAGAUUUCCCUUUUUUUUUUCUAAAUAUAAUACUAAAGCAGGAGCGAUUGAAGCUGUUUUCCCUCCUAAGUGAGGAGGUUUCCUAAGAGGGUCCCUCUUAACUGCAUCAACUUUCUAUAAAUGACUACUUUGGAAAUGUCCACAGAUACCAACUGGGGAGAAUGCAUCGAUUAAGGGGCGUGACAAUGAUGGAAUCCAACUCAAGGGAAAGAACACAUUUGCAGUUCCACGCAAUGUUAGGCCUUUAGGUUUUACAGCGAACAAGCCAAAAGCUGACGAGGAGGAUGAGAAACCAAAGUCUAAUGAUGAAUUUAGAAACAUGCUUCUCAAAAAGUAGCUGACACAAGAUUUCUAGCGAAUUUCAUUGUACAGUUGGGUAGGUUGUGUUACUAACCACUAUCUGUGAGAAAUUCACCUUGUUGAUAGUCAAAAUGUAUGGUGCUUUUGGAAAGCAUGUCUGAAGUAGCACGUCGGUGGCAGUGUAGUAAACUGAAAAAACUUGGCUCUAUAACUUGAACUGCCACUUUUGGCCUGCUUGUGUGUAUGAGUUCUGAAUAAUCAUUAUAUGGUGCUCUACGGAGCAAAUGAGCCUUUUUGUACA